rnacentral:rRNA from 1 species
GAUGAACGCUAGCUACAGGCUUAACACAUGCAAGUCGAGGGGCAGCAUGAACUUAGCUUGCUAAGUUUGAUGGCGACCGGCGCACGGGUGAGUAACACGUAUCCAACCUGCCGAUGACUCGGGGAUAGCCUUUCGAAAGAAAGAUUAAUACCCGAUGGCAUAGUUCUUCCGCAUGGUAGAACUAUUAAAGAAUUUCGGUCAUCGAUGGGGAUGCGUUCCAUUAGGUUGUUGGCGGGGUAACGGCCCACCAAGCCUUCGAUGGAUAGGGGUUCUGAGAGGAAGGUCCCCCACAUUGGAACUGAGGCACGGUCCAAACUCCUACGGGAGGCAGCAGUGAGGAAUAUUGGUCAAUGGACGAGAGUCUGAACCAGCCAAGUAGCGUGAAGGAUGACUGCCCUAGGGGUUGUAAACUUCUUUUAUACGGGAAUAAAGUGAGGCACGUGUGCCUUUUUGUAUGUACCGUAUGAAUAAGAAUCGGCUAACUCCGUG